UACGAAGGGGGGCUAGCGUUGCUCGGAAUCACUGGGCGUAAAGGGCGCGUAGGCGGCCAUGCGUGUCUUCCGUGAAAUCCCUCGGCUUAACUGAGGACGUGCGGAAGAAACUGCAAGGCUCGAGUCCGGGAGAGGGGGGGUGGAAUUCCCAGUGUAGCGGUGAAAUGCGUAGAUAUUGGGAGGAACACCGGUGGCGAAGGCGGCCCCCUGGACCGGUACUGACGCUGAGGCGCGAAAGCGUGGGUAGCAAACGGG
rnacentral:rRNA from 1 species